rnacentral:lncRNA from 1 species
AAAAAUCUGACGCGAGCAGGGCUCUCUUAAUUCGCUUGCACGACAAGCUUUGGCAUGUGAACUCUUGCACAUU